CUCUCUUUUUUUUUUUUUAUAAUUUUAGUUUUAUUUUUAUUUGAGUUAAUGACCACACAGACGCAUUUUGGAGAUGGGGGAUCAUAUAUACAACAUACUGUACCUCACUGAAAUGAAAAACUAUUCUAUCCCUUAACCUGUUAGAUGUAGCCAAGAUGAUUUUUGCUGUCUUAGAUACUUGCAAUUAGUUUAUAGCUAGAUUAGUUUAGCUGAAAGUUAAGUAGUUUGCAACCUCAAAAUUAAUGAACUGUACUUCUGCUCUUGGAUGAGGCAGUAAUCUGUGUUUGUUUCACUCGCGCUCUCAAGAGCCUUCUCAGAAAAACAGGGAGGACAAACAGUGUGAAUAAACAUGAGUAAGUGUGAAAUAUGGCAGAAUUUUCAUAAGAAUGGGUUUGAGGAAUAUUUUUAAUUAUGUUUUAAGAGAUGAUGUCAAUUUAGAGUAGCCGUUAGAUUUAGGUAUAUUAGAAACUAAAAUGUUUUCAUUAAGCCUGAUAAAAGGGCAUGUUUACAAUGAGUUAACCUGUUAGAGCUUAGACAUGAAAGCUCUUAGGAGGAGACAGACUAUCAAGUAUUUUCUCAGCUUUGACAGAAACAUGAAACAGAUAAACAGGGUAAGCUGGCAAAAAUCAAAUUAGUUCCUUUAAUUUCUCAUCCUGCCAACUAUCAGGAAGAUGAUGUAUUAGUACUAGCAUAUGAAAGAACAAAAAAUGCAUAAAUAUUUUAAUUUUUAGAAUGUCUCUUUAAUGUUGUGUAUUUCUUUUUGCUUGGCUUUUGGCCAAGUUAGCCAAUUAAGAAGGCCUUUGGAAAUAUAUUUUCAAGUACAGAUCUAAAGUAAUGACAGUAAUAUGAGUGAUUUCUAUCAUAUUCUGGUUCAAACUUCCCUUUCUUAUAUUUUCUUCUAGAGACUGUUAAAGAUAAACAUGCCUAUACAAUCUGGCAAAGUGUAUCAGAAGAAGGUUAUAUAGAAUGCUCUUCAGGCCUUCUGGUGAGCCUGGUUUCUCAGAAAGAGUAUGUGUGUGUUUAUGUAUAUAUUUAUGUAUGCACAUAAAUAUACAUUGUAUGUUUGUAUGUAUGCAUAUGUAUGUAUACAAGUGGCAUAAGUGGUGUCUAAGGCCAAUAAUAAUCAUGAUUCUGUCCUUCUAUUCAUUAAUGUUACUGUAACUCAUGCAUGAAAGAUUGUUAUACGUCCUCAUGCCUAAAUGUGGUAUAUCACUGAAUUUUUAAAACCUAAUAUUCUAAAAGUAGUGACAUAGCCAAAGUCUUUGGUUUAUUUAAUCCAAUGUCCUGCCUCUGACUGUACCAGAUGCUUCAGGGGAAGGUGCAAUAAUUUCUUCUGGAAUACUCAUUAUUUUUAGAUGUUAUUGGUUCUGUCAUAUCUAAUAUGAUAACUGAUGUCUCCUUAUAUCUAUGAGAGGCUAAUACAGAAUUAUGAGACAUAGAUAUUUCUUGAAGUAGAAAUUCUAAAAUCAAACCCCAUUUUAAGAUUUGAAUUAGCUGCUCAGAUGUCAUUCUCAUCUCCUGGUCUUGUAUGUUAGAAAGGUAUAAAAAACAGUGAUCCCAAGUUUUCUUUCGUAUGUCAGUGCUUACAUUCUCUAUGUAGAAAUUUACAUAUUGGUUUACAUUUGGCUUAUUUUUUCUUAAGCCAAACAAUCAGUCACAUUCUUGUAUAGGUUCAUAUUCUUUGCCCUUUUCUGAAUCCCUUCUGUUUUUGCUAUACUGUUCUUUUACUCAGGUAAACAGAGCUGUGAAUAUUAGUCCAAGUGAAAGCAUGCAUUGGUGUACCUAGCACAGCACCUUUUCCUUUUUAUAUUCUUAGUCAUCUGAAACAUCAUAGAUCUCCAUAUCCUUUGUAAAACUCAAAGUAGCAAGUCUUUUCUUUCUGUCUUCUCUUCCCCAUCAUAUAGAUGAAAUCUCAACUGUUUAUCUGGGAAAUGGUUAGCACAGCUGUUAAAACAUACCUCUAGCUUGGAGAAGGGAGUCUGACUUAGUUAUUCAAUUAGUUAAUACCUCUUUGUGUACCUAAAGUUCCAGUUAAUUUUCAAGUCCAUUUAUUUUUUCCUUUUGGAUUUCUGUUAUUCUGCCUUAGUGCAGUAUCUUGUUAUUCAUAGAUGCCUGUUCAUCACACAGUAUAAAGGAAUUACAAAAUUGGCUGCUCUAAAUGGGAAAUCCACAAGGAUUUUCCACAAGAAAUAAUCCACAAUAACUUAAUUUCUUUCUUGGCAACAUGAAUACUUUACUCAGCCCAAAGCUUAAAGAUGGUUCAGCCUCAACGAAUAUCGAGACAAAAAUACAUUUUGUAAGUGCUUAAAUUUCCCCAGAAAAUUUACAGUCAGUAAGCAAGGGAAAUAUUUCAAAAAAGAAAUAGGCUUAGAGUAAAAAAUAUGUUCUGUAAGUGUAUGAUAGACACAAAAGGUCUUCAACUUUUUCUCGACAAGAUUGAAAUAUCUUAUAGGAAAGGUUUGAAAUUAAGCUUUAUAAAUUUUUCUGUAGUUGAUGAAAGAAGAGGAGGCAUAUCAGAUACAUGAAAUUGUCAGGUAACCGUGGGCUAUUUUGUAUCCAGGCAGAAAGUUUGCUACCUUGUUAGCAUCCUGUUUCAUCAUUAGUCUUGUCUACUGUGAGGUUGGAUUUGCUUUUAUCUCUUACUCUCACUGUUUGAGGGCGCUAAACCACAUUACCCAAGGUGCUUCAGUAUGACAUACUUAUAGAGCAAUAGCUUGCCAAGUAGGUGCCUGAAAGUAUUCUGGAUGGCUAGUGUUUGUAAUAGAGGCUCUAAUACUGUGCCUCAAUAUUAGUAUGGAAGCUUCCAGUACUUUUUCUUUUUGAGCAAGGUAAAUAGCCAUUCUGGACUAUCAUUCUAUGUUGUUCUGUGCUUAGCAUCAUUACUUAGCACUGUAUAAAAUGAAUGUAAAACAUUUUGUACAGAAAACAAUAGCAUUUUGCUGUUGCUUGUGUAGACAAUGACAUAAAUUUAAGGCAGCAGGAAAGCAUGCCCUGUCCUUUAGAAAGAAGGAAAGAUAUUCCAAAAUGUUGCUGAACAACUGUCUAAACACUUAGAAAAUGCAACCAUUUUAUGAAGGUGAUCUUGGUGGGAAUACCCUUAAAGCUUCUCAGAAAGGUAUCAGUGAUUCUUUCAGAUGUGUGUGGGAAUUGAGGUUGUUUCUGUAUGUGUGAAAGUGGCUCUUCUGUGAUGUGAAGUGUAGGUUUAAUGGUUUUUCAGACUUUCAUUCAGUACUAUAACCAAAGCAAUAAAAGGUAUCAGGUAGGGAAUACUGGCCAGUUUUGUUCAACUCUACACCAUGUCAGUGCUGAAUCCAUGUUCAGUUACCUAUGGACCCAAUGCAGAGACUUCACAGAAGAGAGACUGGGGUGAAACCUGAAUGCUUGUGUGUUUAUGAAGAGCACUAACAAAAGAGUAAUUGACUCAGUUGGUGUUCAGAUACUCUCACACUGGCAUUCCUCUGUGCACCUUGGUGUCUCUGUGCUUGAAAGGAGGGGAGUCUCCUUAAGGGCUAAAGAAACAACAUUUCUGGGGUGUAGAUGCCCGUGUGUACUGAUUGUGUGUGUCAUUGUUUAAAUGUCAAAAAUACACUUUAUAGGAGAACCAGCAAAAUUUUGUUACAGUAUGGUGCUCCAUGAAAUAUGCUUUCUUGAUUUCUUUUAUUUUUUCUCAUAUUAUAAUAAACUAUAAACAAAAA
ensembl:lncRNA